CAUUAAGUUACUUAAAUGCAAGUGUUGGUCUCUUAAACCAAAUCAUAGUAAUAAGCACCUACUCUUAAUGA
rnacentral:tRNA from 1 species